rnacentral:lncRNA from 1 species
AUCUCCACGUUCUCGCACCGGCGCUGGGGUGCAGGCUUUCAGUGGUCUCAGGGCUACGGCUUGUCGGUGCCUCGCCGCACAGUCCCCUUUGCAUUGAAGGACACGGUCUUACGGUGUAGGAGCAUUUUUGAGGUGCAUUCCUGGAUUUGGAGGCGAACCCCCAAUGGUUACCUCCACAGAGGCUUUGCGAAGGGCGCUCACUGACUUAGGUGAAGAGCGAAGGCUCAAGACUGUGCCGCUUUAUAGUGGCCCCUUGACGUCCAGAAGUUCCCCCCAGCGCCGGUCAUAAGCACUCCCGCCGCCUGGGCCCCGCCCUGCCUGCCAGGCGCCCUCCAGCCUCAGCUCCCGGACGCCCGGCGUGGCCGCUUUCUCGCGUCUUGCUGACCCGGGCCGGGGGCGUGUGCUCCUCCUGCAGCGGACGGAAGAUGCUGGGCCACGCAAGUUUCCCUGGGCUUGGUUAACCACCCCAAAGCCCAUUUCCAGAAGGAAAGGGUGUUGAGGAGGAGGGAUAGAAAGUCGAGAAGAGGGCCGGAGAUGAGAUCUUGCUCUGUCACCCAGACUGGAGUGCAGUGGCACGAUCAUAGCUCACUGCACCCUCAAACUCCUGGACUCAAAUCAUCCUCUACCUCUGCCUCCAUGAGUAACUGGAACUACAGGUCAACACAGAUUCUCGGAAUUAAACACUUCCAUGUCCCAGAGGAUCAAAGUCACUUGCAAAAAUACCUCAAAAUGUGUUUGUCAAGAAAUUACACUUUCUCUUGAUUUUGUGGACCACUUUCUAAUUUCCAACCCAGACAAAAGCCUCCUAGUGAAGCUGGUCUUUCCUAGCACAUCCCCCUACCCCCCCAGCCACUGUCCCAUCCCUGGAUGGCCUGUCCACAGAGAGCACUGUCUGUGUGGCCACUGGGGGAGGCAGCUGCAUCCCAGAGAUGAUGGUGUCCAGGGCAUGACGAGGAAGCUCUUUGUGUGGCCUGGAGACGUCCCGGGAGCUGGCUGGCGCCCACCUUCUCUCACUUCCUUACCACCUUCUUUCUUGUGUUGCUGCUUUCUCCUUCCCAGCUCUAAACUCCCAUGGUGCUGGAGCAGCCAGAGAAGAAGUGUUACUAGACCUGCCACUGCUACCUACAGUGAGCCCCAUUCUGCACACAGAGGCUGCGGACUCCUUUUUCCCAAUCAUAGACCAGAAUGCUUGUGAAAGAAGAUGUGGCUGUUCUGCAGGUUGGAGCUCUAGGAUCGGAAGAACUCAUCUGUAUCACAUAUGAUCCAGCUGAAAGUCCCUACAAACUGGGCCCUCUGUGUCUUUAGAAGCAGCUUCCAAGGGCAGGAAGACUUCCAGAGUGCAGGACUGAGCGUGCUGCUAAUCUUGUUCUGGUCGAGAGACUGAUGAGAGAGACAAGAAUUAUGGCGCGAGAAAAGCAGCAGCAGCAGCAGCAAGUCUGCAGAGGGGAAUGCCAAACUCGCUACUGGGUGUUUUUUUUUGUUUUGUUUUGUUUUGUUUUGUUUUGUUUUGUUUUGUUUGAUACAGAGUUUCACUCUGUCACCCAGGCUGGAGUAGAGUGGUGCCAUCUCAGCUCAUUGCAACCUCUGCCCCCUGGGUUCAAGCAAUUCUCCUGCCUCAGCCUUCCGAGUAGCUGGGAUUAUAGGCAUGUGCCACCAUGCCUGGCUAAUUUUUGUAUUUUUAGUAGAGACAGGGUUUUGCCAUGUUGGCCAGGCUGGUCUCAAACUACUGACCUCAAGUGAUCCGCCCGCCUGGCCCCCCAAAGUACUGGGAUUACAGGUGUGAGCCACCAUGCCUGGCCUGCUGUGAUUUUUCAUUGAACCUAAUUAACUCAUUUUUAGCCCCUAUUUUUGGUACAAUAAUAGAACUUAGGUUGUAAUCAACUGGUGGGUUCUUUCCGCACACUGCACAGAUAAGAUCAGUCCACAGAGACCACAGCGUUGCAGUAAAGAAAGAGUUUGAUGUGAGGCCAGCCACGUGGGAAAACUGGAGUUAUCACUCAAAUCAGUCUCCCCAAAGGCUUGGAGGUCAGGAUUUUUGUGGACAAUUUGGUGGGCAGGGAGCUAGGGAAUGGGUGUUGCUGAUGGGUAGGGGGUGAAAUCAUAGGGGUGUGGAAAACAGUCCUGAUGUGCUGAGUUUUCCUCUGGGUGGGGCCACAGGACCAGCUGAAUCAUGAAUCCAGGUGGGGCCAGUGUGAAGAACGUAUCAAAAAAUCAAUCUUAGGUUCUACAAUAGUGAUGUUAUCUAUAGGAGCAAUUGGAGAAGUCACAAAGCUUGUGACCCCUGGCCACAUGACUCCUGGGCAGUAAGAGAUUACUAUGUCUACAUUUUAGCAGAGUUCAUGCCUUUCCCACAACUCUAAUCUUGUAGCCCUUCAUUAAUCUUACAAAGGCGGUUUUCAGUCCCUGAGCAAGGAGGGGUUUAUUUUUGGGAGGGACUAUUAUCAUCCUUUAUUUCAGGUUAAACUAUAAACUAGAUUCCUGCCAAAGUUGGCUUGGUCUACGUCCAGGAAUGACAAGGACAGCUGGGAGGGCAGAAGCAAGAUGGAGUCAAUUAUGUCCAAUUUAUCUUACUGUCAUAAUUUUUCAAAGGCAGUUUCAAGGUUACUAUUCUCAUGAUUCAACACAUCCUCAAGGAGUGAGAUUCAGUCUGUGUAAGUGUAUCAUGACUUUCUAUAACACGCCUUGUCAUGCACUCUUCUACCCUGCUAGAAUUGGAGUCUGGCCUCAGCUGGUUCCUACCAGCAGUACUGCCAUCACCUCAUCCUCAUCUGCCCCAUCUGUUGUUUUGGAACCACUUGUGUCCUCUGAAAUGCAUAUGUUGAAGUCCUAACCACCUGUGCCUCAGAAUGGGACUAUGUUUGGAGAAAGGGUUUUAAAGAGGUACUUAAAGUUAAAUGAGAUCAUUACUGUGAACCCUGAUCCAAAUUGACUUAUGCCCUUAUAAGAAAAGGAAAUUUGGCCACUUACACUCACAGAGGAAGAAAUCAUUUGAAGACACAGAGAGAAGAGGGCCGAGGAGAGAGGUCUCAGAGAAACCAACCCAAUGACAUUUCGUCUUGGAUUUCCAGCCCCCAGAAUUACUGGAAAAUACAUUUUUCUUGUUUAGGCCACCCAAUCUGUACUACUUUGUUAUGGCAACCCUAGCAAACUAAUGCAGUCACCAACCCAGGGUGAAAAUGGGACAUUCCCAACUCUAGCUCUUAGGCCAAGCUUAUUUGUAAUAGAUUCUUGUUUUCAAAGGAUAUAGAUAUUGAGAUUCUCAAUGUAUUUGUUAAAAUACAUUGUUUCUUGUUAAAAGCAUAAGACUUUGAAAUGUCUCUGUGUUGCAGAUAUGUAGAUGUUCUGAGCCAUAAUUUUUGGAAAAUUCUUUCAAAGAAAAGGAAAUCUACUGGACAAAUAGCAUGAUUAAUGGGGAUCUAGUGACAAAAUAAUCUGCCCUAAUUGGAUUUGUGAUGUUUUUGCAACUUGAAAUUAGCUUCAAAAUCCAACAAUAAUACGAAAGAAUGUUCAGUAUCACGAAUCAAAUUAAAACCAUAAUUAAAUCACCUCCUUUCAUUAGGGUAGCUACUAUAAAAAAAAAGUAAAACAAAACAGAAAAUAGCAACUGUCGGCAAAGAUGUGGAGAAAUUGGAACCCUUGUGAAACCAUCCCACAGUGUUGACAAGAAUUGCAUGCUGGGUUCUGGACAGAAAUAGUUCCAAUUAAGUACUAAUCAGUCUGCACUUGGGCCCACUUACUCGUUGUUAAAAGUCAUGUAGCCCUGGAUGCUGACCAUGUACAUCUGCAUUGUUCCUAUAGAUAAGAUCUCUGACAUUAGAAUCAUAAGGCUUUUGUUUAAGGAUCACUUAUGAUGUUUUUCACACCCCAAAUUCCAGCAGCCAGUUUGAAGACUCCCACAGAGUAAUGGGAUCAAUAUGAGAAUACAGCUUCUUCAUCUCCCUAUCUCAUGACUUCACCCUCUACUCUUCCAACCAAUCAGUGAUCUCCACAUUGCAGCCCAUUCCAACACUCUUAAAAACCCCUACCCCCAAAUGCCUCAGGGAGACAGAUUUGAGGUUUCUUCUCAUCUCAUUUAGUGACCCUAUGAUUAAACCC